GCACAACCUUGAAGCCACAUUGCAGCCAAGAGACAGUAAAAAGCUACACAAAAUAACCUGAUGGAAUGUUUGCAACUUGUUUUUAAUGUACAGAUUGCUACAGAACAUAAGGUCUAACAAAAAAUUUGUCUGUGUUGACCCUUCCUCCCAAGGGAGAGGUGAUGAAGACUAAAACGCAUCUCUAAGAGGUGGGACAGCACGUGCAGAGUCUGAAAUCCUGACAGCAAGAGAGAGGCAUCCCCAUGAGACAACCUCCUGAGACAACCUCCAGAUGAUUAGAGCUUUUUAAACAGGAAAAUUACAUGGAUGCAAAAGAUGGUGAAGCACUUCAGGGACAAAAGGCAUUAGCAGUCCAUAGACUUGUGUAGUAUCCAGCCUAAUGCAUGGACUGGGAGGUGUGAGUCAGCUGGGAAGCGUGACUAAGAGCUGAAAAGGAACUGCUUUCUAAACCACUUCUCAAGUGUGAAGACAACACCUCCUAGCUCCGUGGAAGGCGCUUUGCAAGCAUUUGUCUGGCACUUCCUGGGUUCUCAAAGUAUUUCAGGAUGUUCUACAGUGCUGAAGCAAUGAGAUUAACUCAGUAGAACAUGAUUCUAAAAUAAAUCAGAAUAUACAUUGUGCUGAGAUAUAGCAAAAUGAUCAGCUAUGACCAGACCCUCUACUGAACUAAAAAGAAGGUAUCUUCAGUGCUAUUGAGAACCAGAAUUCUUUAAUGUUGAAAUAAUUCUUCUGCAGCUCUGGAAAGCUCCCUGCUUUUCCAGCAGGGAAACUGGAUGCCAAAAACCUGUGGGAAGGAGGCACCAAAGACAGAACUGGGAUGAAACAAAACCAUAUCAAGGUUCUCUCAUAAGACCAAAUUCAGGUUUCUUGAAAUAGAUAACCUGGUAAACAAUAUUGCAAAGGGCUGAGCUGUAGUGGGAACACUGUUGUACUCUCAACAGCUCAGCAGAAAAAAAAAAACAUGUAAAGAUCAGUGUGUAAUUGUUGAGUCCAAGAAGAAAAUUUCACCAAGGUGCACUCCCACAUGGAAGAAGGGUGAAAUGAGAAUAAAAUGGUCCAGGAAGCACCAGCGAAGAAAAGAGGAUUGGUGAGAAAAGCAUCCCACUAAGAACAUAAAAGUAAGACCUGAGCUGGAGAAAACAGAGGGAAAGAAGCUGCAACAGCAGCAAUGGAGAUGGAAGGAAUAAAUUUUCUUUGUAAAGUCCUACAGAGUUUUCUCCCUAUAUUACCCUGGCUUCACAGCAAUUGUCAGAGAGACAAGAACUUCCUUCCUUGUCUUCACUGACUUCUUGCUCUGGAGAGGAGACCUCCAAAUUUCAACUCUUAAAGAUGUCAGUAUAGAAAACUCACCCAGAAGCAUCUCAGAAGACCCACCUACUGAACAUCCCCACCAUGGAAUAGGAUCAGCUAACACAAUUUUUCUAUAACACAAUUUAGCAGACUUCAGUGUACACUCCCACAGGAAUGGAACCUGCAUAGCUUUUUUAAUUAAAGCUUUUGAUUUAUUUUUUUUUAAUUGCCUUUGAUGCUUCUCUCAUUCAAAUAAUUAAAUUUUGGAGGUAAACUCGUUUAGCUCUCUGAAGAUGGGCUUAAAGGGCAGUAUUUGGCUUCAUGCCUCAUACAGGAUCUCUCUCUUGAAACAGUUCAUGAUGAGAGCAGCCUCAUCAUCCACUUUCCAAGCAAUUUGCCAGGCAAAGGCAAUUCUGUUAGGUAAGGUCUGUGUCAAAACUGAUGACCCAGUCUCUAACAUUUAGACAGGAGAAAGUGAGAGGACAAGAAUCUCUCCUAAGUGUAUAGGCAUUGAACUUUCCUGAGUCAACAGUGAUUUGGGAUCUGAGAGGCCAAAACGUCCAGUGAAUGGAAAAUUACUUGUGUUAUCCUGGUUAUAGCCUACCACAUUAUGUCAAAUUACCUAAAGACACUGACAGCCCUUUUGAUAUAACCACUACUAUUCAUUACUCACAGAGUUGUAAGAAAAUAAUUGAGCUACUCAUUUACACAAUUGAAUUGAUUACAAUGGAAAAAUGUUUGUCCUCACAACAAACUCCAGUAUUCAGCAGCAGGAGAAAAAAAUAAAGAUGGUUAGCAUCUUCACAGAAAAAUAUCAAAAAUAUAAUAGACAUGGGAUGCUUUAGCCAUAGGCCCUAGUAUCUGAUGAGGGGGGUAGAUGGAAAUCUUCAGAACAAAAUGUUUCCAGCAGAGAUGUCUGCAGAGUUUUUCCAUUUUCAUGUCAGGUUGAUGGUUUGAGGCUAAAAAGGGCACGGGACUAGAAAGGCUUCUAGGUAUAUUGGGGAGCAGGAUGGGAAAGCUAUAGCUUGCUCAUCUAACAUGUCAGCAUAGGGAAGAAAGUUAAGAAUGACAAAAUCGAGUGAACUGGUAAUUUUUGAACAGUUACAGCCUGAGAUUGCAUUAUUCAUCAUGACUGAGGGGGAAACUAGUAGGCCUUACAAGGAGAAACAUGAGAAACACCUAGAAUGUAACAGAAUCAGAUACUUGUUCUGCAGUUCAUUCCAGCAUUAGAUUUGUUGGACAGAAUUUUUCUGAUGCAUUAAUUAGUAUUGCAUUUUAUUAUUUUCCAUGUAAGGCUUCUGCUGCCUUUGUUACAUGAGCUUUUCAUAUAUUGGCUUCUUCUCAUUUAAGUUUUCAUCCUGCCAUUUUCACUGUCAUUUUCCUGUGUCACUCUAUUCCUCCAUUGUAUUCUCUUUACAAAUAGAACACUCGAUACAUUUUCCUGUUUGGAUUUUUAAAAAUACUUUGCAGAAAAUGACUACAGUUUUCACAUUAAUUUGAUUAAUCUAUUUUUUUACUUUAUAUUCAGACAGAAAGUGUAAGUAUGUAGUUUGCUGGGUUUUAUUUGUGGUAUAUAUCCCCAACAAUACCUUAAAAAUUAAUAAUAGACUAAAAAACACCCACUCUCAGAGGUUACUACUAUGCAGAUAGCAUCUAGUCAAGAAGUGAGAUGAUGGAAUAACUUGCCAGAUGGUAAAAUAAUUAAAUACUAAAUACUAAUACCUAAAUACUGAUAUUUAGGUUGUCAGUAUUAAUAAGGUCUGCAGACUGAGGUUUGAAAUGAGCCACAAAAUUCUCUACACAAUAUUUUAAAAACUACAUUUAUUUGCAUUUAUCUUAUGUAACUCCUAGACAUUAAUGGUAAGACUGUUUUAAAUAUCUCUAGCAGCAGGUGUUUUAUGUGAUUAAAUAUUAGGGCUUGCAGUAAAGUAUUGCUGUUAAUUUUCCCAACUAGCAAAAUCAUCUGGGUAUGAAUUACAGACUUGGCUGUGGUAGAAGCACUGUGGAGAUCUACUCAGAAAAUGAUGCACAGGGAGCAGAGGAUUUUAAUUAUAUACUCAUGCAUGAACUAACAUGGUUUCUUGACUUAUAUUCUAAAUUUGAAUUAUUACAUUAUUACAUUCUAGGAAAAAACAGCUUGCUCUUUCAUCCCAACGUGAACAGACAUCACAGCACCUUCCCCCACCCAUUGCACCAGUGUUUACAUUGUGAGGACAUGCUGAAAAGCAAUGAAUAUUCUGGCUGACUGGCUGAGACUGAGAGAAGCUCUGAAUGUAGGCUGGAUACCACCUUGCUCACGUUUACCCCACCUUAUCCUGAAAUCAGCGUUGCAUGAUGGAUCUUCUGCCUUUGUUUGCAAUUACAUAUACAGUCCCUGCAAAGAAAUAACAUAGCAACAAAAGAAGUCUCUAAUUGCUGGUUGUCUCAUAAGCAUUGGGCACCUGGGUUCUUGCUUGUCACAAUGGUGUGUGGGGAAAUUCUCAAAGUCAUUUCUGAAUUGUCUUGAUUGUGUUUGAGCUCUGACUAUUUGGCAUAUGCUUUCCAGCUCUGUGGUUGAGUUUUUCUUCUUCAGUAUUUCCAGCUCAGAGACAAUUUAUGUCAUGGAGAUAUUCCAAGCUAUUGUAUGGUUUACACGAAUAUUUAGGUUUGGUUACAGCUGUUUAUUUUCUCCUAAUUUGAAUAUAAGUGUUUUGCAUCUCCCUAGUGGCCUGUUAAGACUGACAAGACAUCAUGUCUGAGGUAGCAAUGAGCUAUCUGGUUAUUCUACUAAUUGGCUGAAAUUCUCCCUGUUUGAGUCUUGGACCUGCUUUGUGGUGCUUUUCUGGCUGACAUCAUCAGGUAUGAUGGUUUUACUGUGGAACAGUAAUACAAAUGAACCAAGGUCAACAAAGAAUAUACAAACCACUGGGUUUUUAUUUUACAUUUCACUACAAAAAAAAAAAAGUUUAAAAAAUUGAAGUGUGUGUCAGUAACAUACUUUAUGGUAUGAUCUCUUUCAAUGGAGAGCAGAAGAGUGUGUGCUCUGGUGAUUUAGGGGAUCUGAAUUUACUUAGGAUCCUGAGUUAUGACUAAAACCUGAAUAUUGGGAUUAACAGAGACAAGAACAUCUUUAUGAACUUAUUUAAUGUGGGUCACAGUCAUUUUAACUUUCACCACAUCUCCCAAGUUUUGCAAUGUGUUGCAUAGAAAUUUAUUCUCUUCUGUUAUCCCUUACUUUCUGUUCUUUUUAUCAGUAACCCCUAGUUCUUAUAUUUAAGACACACGAGACAAUCAUCAUUCAGAAUAGGCGUGCACCAUGCAUUUACACAAUAGCAUAAUGGUAUUUUCUGUUUGGUCUUUUGUCUUUCUUGUUUUCCUGAGAAGGAAAUGUAACACAUUCAUUGUAGACAUUGUAGUAAUUUUGUCAUUGCCAGUGUCUCAUGGGAGUCUGUGAUAUGCUGAAACAGCAUUCAGAACUGUAACCCCAGUCACACCCAGAGCUUCAGUGGUCACCUUCUGUACUGAAACACAAUGAGCACAUCCUACAGCAGGUGUGUUUCACCCCUGCUUGUGCCAUGAUGUUACAUGCUCCUGAACCCUGACAGUUUCAGCCCACCAGACCGCCUCAAACUGAAAACAGAACUCAUUUAUGCUAUAGCAGCUCCAAAGCAAAUAAAUAACCCCACAGCAUCAAUAUAAAAUAAUUUCAGGAUCCUACCAAGCUCCCUUGCCAUAGCAUGCAUUUCCUUACAAAUUGACAGCAAUUUUGAUAGUUCAUAAUCUCAUUUUCUCUGCAAUUCAAAUUCAUUAAAGAAUUUAUCCAUGUUUCAAGAAACCAAA